rnacentral:rRNA from 1 species
GAUGAACGCUGGCGGCGUGCCUAAUACAUGCAAGUCGAGCGAACGGACGAGAAGCUUGCUUCUCUGAUGUUAGCGGCGGACGGGUGAGUAACACGUGGAUAACCUACCUAUAAGACUGGGAUAACUUCGGGAAACCGGAGCUAAUACCGGAUAAUAUUUUGAACCGCAUGGUUCAAAAGUGAAAGACGGUCUUGCUGUCACUUAUAGAUGGAUCCGCGCUGCAUUAGCUAGUUGGUAAGGUAACGGCUUACCAAGGCAACGAUGCAUAGCCGACCUAAGAGGGUGAUCGGCCACACUGGAACUGGGACACGGUCCAGACUCCUACGGGAGGCAGCAGUAGGGAAUCUUCCGCAAUGGGCGAAAGCCUGACGGAGCAACGCCGCGUGAGUGAUGAAGGUCUUCGGAUCGUAAAACUCUGUUAUUAGGGAAGAACAUAUGUGUAAGUAACUGUGCACAUCUUGACGGUACCUAAUCAGAAAGCCACGGCUAACUACGUG